GUGGGAGCCUCCAGCCGUUUUCCCCCUAGUCACUGGAAGUGAGAAAGAAGAGAUGGAGGGAGGCUUCAGGUGUGCUCAACAGAAGACUCUGGACAACUUCUUCAUUCUUAGGGUUCCAGAAUGAAAGUGCUAGACCGCUGAUUGGAUAAGAGAACUAGAAGAAGUUGCACACUGAACUUAUUGGAGUCUAGAUAGAAAGAUGAACGCGGCUAAAACAUGAAUGUCAACAAUCACACGAAGUGCUGAGAACAAACAGUAUUUCUAGGAUUUAUGAACUGUCUAAUUUUCAUUUUGACAUGCGUCAUUUUGAAAUUUGGGUGGUAUGGAGAGAGGUGGUUAUGGUGCCGAUGAAGAAUAUACAUUUGUGUAUGUACUUGAGAAAAAAAUUGGAGACAAUGGAAAGAACUAUACAUAGUCCUCAAGGAUAGCUGAAAUGAGUGACGGAAAGAGAAGGCCUAUGUUCUAUGACAGGACUCUGAGCUCCCAAAUCUGGCCCAGUGAGAAGCCAAAGUGUUCCAUUAUUUGCAUUGAAGAGGCUAUUGUGUUGUAAAUCCAUCAAGUGAACCCCAGAGCC